AUUGAACGCUGGCGGCAUGCUUUACACAUGCAAGUCGAACGGUAACAGGCCGCAAGGUGCUGACGAGUGGCGAACGGGUGAGUAAUGCAUCGGAACGUGCCCAGUCGUGGGGGAUAACGCAGCGAAAGCUGUGCUAAUACCGCGUACGAUCUGUGGAUGAAAGCGGGGGACCGAAAGGCCUCGCGCGAUUGGAGCGGCCGAUGUCAGAUUAGGUAGUUGGUGGGGUAAAGGCUCACCAAGCCAACGAUCUGUAGCUGGUCUGAGAGGACGACCAACCACACUGGGACUGAGCCACGGCCCAGACGCCUACCGGAGGCAGCAGUGAGGAAUUUUGGACAAUGGGCUCAAGCCUGAUCCAGCAAUGCCGCGUGCAGGAAGAAGGCCUUCGGGUUGUUAACUGCUUUUGUACGGAGCGCAAUGGCUCUCUCUAAUACAGGGGGCUCAUGACGGUACCGUAAGAAUAAGCACCGGCUAACUACGUGCCAGCCGCCGCGGUAACAC
rnacentral:rRNA from 1 species